CAGAUGGGGUUUGCAGGAGCAAUGGCUGUAGGGACACUAAGAUUUCACCCUCCAGAAGACAGCAUCUUCCUGUGCCAUGGCUAGAUCACCAGCUACCCACAGACAGCCUGAACUCCAAUUGUCUUCCUGCACAUGUGCCUUUAAAGGAACUUUUCAAAUGUAGAGGAGCCUUUAGAAGGAAGCCUUGAGCAUGAGGACAGACCCCCCUCAUCCAACCACCACCUGACUCUGUGUGAACCUGGAACUGUUAGAAUGUCUGUGCUGUGAUAAAAGGUCAUCUCCCUACAAUGUUAUGAUACAGACCUCAAACCUACAAACAUGAGGAACUUCUGCCUCCAGGUUAACUGCUUACCCACUGUACAAGACACGUUACACACAGUCCAGGAGGCGGAGCUUCUGAGAUAUCUAGAAACAGCUUAGAGGCAAAAUGACAAAAUAAAGCAGCAACAACAAAUAAAACCAA
rnacentral:lncRNA from 1 species